AUGGAAGCAGAAAACAGUGACCCAUACACUGGCAGAUGCGAUCGCGUGGGUGGUGGGAGUGGUGCAGCGAAGGGGUGGAUGAGGACAGAGGCUGGUGUGGACGAGAUGGCUUUCAACUGAGCAGGCGACAUCUGGGCUGAGACCCGCGUGACAAGGAAGAGGCACAGCAAAGGCAAAGGCCCAGGAAGGAAGGAGGUCAGGAUGAUGGAAGAAUGAGAGCAAACGAGAGCAAAGGCGGACGAUCAGACUCUGCCAGGACGGGAAGGGAGGCCGAGAUAAGAAGCCGGAGGACCCUGGAGGCCAGGUGAAGGUGGGGAAGGGGAAAGAAAGCCUGUGAGGGCGGAGGCCGGAAAGCCAUGCGACCGUGGGGCAGCUGUUGCUAUGGGGCCCUUUCCCAUCGCCCGUGCUUUACAGGUGGGGCCUGGCACGCGGCCAUUGGUCACGCAGGUCACUUGGCCUCGAGGUGGUCAAGAUGGCUGCCGCUGUGGUUGGAGCAGCUCUGCCUCCCACGCUGCUGCGUUGACACGAGCUUCCCCUCUCUGCCCACCCUCCUCCUUUGAGGGAAACAGUUGGCCUAGCACGGUGAACAACCGUGCCCUGGAGCCUCCUCAGUCCUCUGGCAGCACAGUGCCGGGGGGUCUCCAGGAGCACUGUCCUGGGGCUCUUCCCUGAGCGCCACUUAUAUGACCACGUUGCUGUUACCACACAGCCCUCGGGAACAGAUGCCUGGACGACCCUCAAAGCCACCGGGAGCCUGUUGGCCCACCUUGGCCGGCUGGAUGUCCUGGUGAAGCUUGGCCAGACAAAAACACACUGCCCACGGCCCCACAGCUGAGUCCAUAGAAGGUCAACAGCUGAUUUCUCUCUGGAAUCCAGAACUGCCCAUUGUAAUCCCAUUUAUAGAGCUCACAUGGACCUCAGAGAUCUUGGGUCCAACUCUCUGGUGCUGUCAGCGAGGGACUGAGGCCCAGGGUGGUGACCUGGCCAGGUGAGACCGUCCACAGGGGCUCCAGCCCCGAUGUAUCCUGAGCCCGGAGUACAACCAUUCAGGCAAUGCUAAAGUUCCAGGAGUGAAGGAGGAGAGUGGCCCGGAGGAGAUGUGCAGAAGCAGGAGGGAUUUCCCAGCUUCCAAGAGGAGACUCAGCCAUGGAUCCCCUUCACCUGUGACCUCCGACAGGACUCGGACCCAGGACCAUGUGGCGCCGGUUUCUGUGCAUCUCGCCCCCUGCGCUGUAGACAAAGAAAGCCCUGUGUGUGUCGGCCUCACUGCUGUGCUCCGCUUUACAUCCGGGGACUCAGCGGUUGAGCCAGAUUCCUCAAGUGCUCUGGUCACUUGGCGUCCGCUCCUCAGUUUAGGAGACUCUAACUAUUUUUGGUAACAAAACAAAUAUCUUCCAGGCUGCCGGUGAGUUCGCCAAGAUACAUCCUGAUUCAUUACACAACCACUGAGAUACAAAGCCCUAAAAAUAGCGGACUGGCUUUAAUGUUUCAUUUGGCAUCAGGAUGCUAGGUUCAUGUUAGCUGCAGCCAGUAUUUUAGACUGAUUUCAUUUAAUUUCCUGGGUAUGAUGCUCUUUGGCCCUGGAGGGCAACUUCUUGUUUAUCUUUAUCUCUGCUUGGCUUCAGAUUAAGGCUUUGUGCUUAAAGAAGAGAA
rnacentral:lncRNA from 1 species